rfam:Capsicum annuum cultivar Zunla-1 chromosome 8, whole genome shotgun sequence
UGAUAAUGAUGAGGAUAAUUUUUUAUCAUACCCUUAAAUAUCUCCUAAGCUUGGUAGAGAUUCUCUCCAUCUUUCUGUCUAAAACUCAAGAUCUCACUCCUCAAGAG